ensembl:lncRNA
GGUGCCACUGAUACUUAAACGAGACUAUCAAGUAUUAACAGAUGUGGGAUCAGUUGGGCUGUUCCUGAGCUUUCUUUACCACUGCUUUGGGAUCCAGCAUGCAAAAGUUUGUAUGCUGACAACUUAGGAUACAAAAGUAAAUGGUACAAGUAUCCGCCCUGCUAUAUAGAAGAGAGUACUGAAGAAACAGGACGCUGUGAUGGCUGAAAGUACUGGCUCCACAGCAGAACUGCCUGAGUCCAGCUUUGUUUCCAGAACUUCCUAGUUCAUCAGUCAAAUCUACUUGCAGCUCUGGAGACCUCUCAUGGUUUAAGAACAAGGAUGUGUGAAAAGGAACAAAGGCAUCGAUGCUCAGCUUCAGUGCUUCAGAACAGGCUCCUUACAUGUGCUAUAAAGAUAACAGACACAGGGAGGGGCUUUUGAUGAAAAGAGCCAGACUUCUGAGUAUGGAAAGUUACAC